rnacentral:rRNA from 1 species
CGUGUAGGCGGCUCGCUAAGUCUGAUGUGAAAGCCCGGGGCUCACCCCCGGAAGGGCAUUGGAAACUGGCGGACUCGAGUCCCGGAGAGGAGGGUGGAAUUCCUGGUGUAGCGGUGAAAUGCGUAGAUAUCAGGAGGAACACCGGUGGCGAAGGCGGCCCUCUGGACGGUGACUGACGCUGAGACGCGAAAGCGUGGGGAGCAAACAGGAUUAGAUACCCUGGUAGUCCACGCUGUAAACGAUGAGCACUAGGUGUCGUGGGUAUUGACCCCCGCGGUGCCGCAGCUAACGCAUUAAGUGCUCCGCCUGGGGACUACGGCCGCAAGGUUAAA